rnacentral:rRNA from 1 species
UAGGGAAUCUUCGGCAAUGGGCGAAAGCCUGACCGAGCAACGCCGCGUGAAUGAUGAAGGCCUUCGGGUUGUAAAAUUCUGUUAUAAGGGAAGAACGACUUUAGUAGGAAAUGGCUAGAGUGUGACGGUACCUUAUGAGAAAGCCACGGCUAACUACGUGCCAGCAGCCGCGGUAAUACGUAGGUGGCGAGCGUUAUCCGGAAUUAUUGGGCGUAAAGAGCGCGCAGGUGGUUGAUUAAGUCGGAUGUGAAAGCCCACGGCUUAACCGUGGAGGGUCAUUGGAAACUGGUCGACUUGAGUGCAGAAGAGGGAAGUGGAAUUUCAUGUGUAGCGGUGAAAUGCGUAGAGAUAUGGAGGAACACCAGUGGCGAAGCCGGCUUCCUGGUCUGUAACUGACACUGAGGCGCGAAAGCUAGGGUAGCAAACG